rnacentral:lncRNA from 1 species
CUCCUCUGUCCAUGGGAUUUCCCAGGCAAGAAUACGGGAGUGGGUUGCCAUUUCCUUCUCCAGGCCAUAUUCCCCAGCCAGGGACUGAACUCUUGUCUCUUGCAUCUCCUGCAUUGCAGGCCCAUUCUUUACUGUCUGAGCCACCGGAAAACCCGAAAUAAGGUAAAUCUGACAACAAUUUCAGGAAACAUUCUUCUCAGAAAGUCUAUUUGGAAACCUAAAAUUAGCACCAAUACUCCAGAAAAUAAGGUCCACUGCUUUUCUAAAGUGCCUUCCUACCUUGCCCAGUCUCUUGUGUAGACAGCAAUCGUUCUGGGACUCUGCUCCCUUAACCAGUAGCACCUGGGAACUCGCUAGAAAUGCAAAUUACUAGGCUGCACUCCAAACUUACUGAAUCAGAAACUCUGGGGGCGGCACGCAGAAAUCUUGUUUUUACGAUUCCCUUCAGGCGUUUCUGGUGAUCGCUUAAGUUUGAUAACCACAGAUACGGGGUAAAUGUAUUGAAAAUUUGCUGCACCGGUUAUGGGAAAAACGAACGCGCUCUUUUUUCAGCUCUAGCAGCUGCAGCUUCUCAGUAGAAUCAGGAGAGGGCGCCCACGGACCUGUCUUUGCCUCGCUCCUAGCAAAGCCUCGCGACCGGGUAAGCCCUGGAACAGUGACUUCUUUCUAAUGCAGAAGUGAAUGACAAAUAUACGAAAAAAAGACUUCAAAAGACUGUGGUAUCAAAGUGGCAGUUAAAGAGAAGGCAGCGCUCAGAGGCGCAGCUGCAGAGGGCAGCGGCGGCGGCUACAUCAGCAUCCGAAAAUUCCGGAAGCAUCUCGAGUUGAAGCUUCCCCCCGUGCCACCCCCUGCAGCAUUUCUUCGAACCCUUUUCUUUGAUACACGAUUCACCAGAUUUCUUCUGUACAUGGGGACAGCUCCUAUGGUGGAAAAUGGCAAUUUACAUGGGAUAAGACUUCUACCUGACCUUACCUGUGUGUCCUCUGCAAGCUUAUCCAGUAAUUGCAAAAAUCAAUGUGUCACACGUCACUUCCCUGGAAAGCAGCGCUGAGGAUCUAUCAGUCACCAGCAACUGCAACAGACGUCAUUCAUGUCACCUGCACCUUUCUCCUUUGUCCUCUCCAGCUCUCUCAGCCUAAAGGAGAGAAGCCUGGGUGAGUGUCCCCUCACUGGGCCCUGCUUAUCUGACAGCAAUCAAUGGAUAUUUAGCAAACAUUCAUAAUGAACACCUGACCCUGUGUUGGGUGUUAGCUCCCAUCUUGCAAGCCUUUGCUGUAGUUUAUUCCCUCUUCCUGGAAGGUUCUCCUCAGCAAUCUUCAUCUGACUAGUUUCAUCUUGUCAUGCAAAAUCUUAACUAAGGUUUUCAACAUCACCACCGCAAAAACAUCUUCUUUCUGGACAUGGGGACACAGCAGAAGGUGAGGAUGGGAUAGGCGGA